UCGACUGUACUCGAACGGGAUCACUUCUAUAGGCGAUCCGCACGUUCACCGCUACAUCGACAGACAACACCACAAGUCGCGAUGAUGAGACGUGCGUCCUGCCAGACCUUGAAGGGAGGCCCCUCGCCGCAAGGCGGGGCGGCUUUGAUGAUACAGGCAACCGGGCGAAGGCUUGGUUUCCCCUGGCGUGGACGGUUCUGAGCGACA
rfam:Cyclospora cayetanensis strain CHN_HEN01 contig_306, whole genome shotgun sequence.